rnacentral:rRNA from 1 species
UGCCUCGCAAGAGGAGUCUGGAGACAGGUGCUGCAUGGCUGUCGUCAGCUCGUGUCGUGAGAUGUUGGUUAAGUCCGCACGAGCGCAACCCUUGUCUUUAGUUGCCAUCAUUCAGUUGGGCACUCUAAAGAGACUGCCGGUGUCAAACCGGAGGAAGGUGGGGAUGACGUCAAGUCCUCAUGGCCUUUAUGACCAGGGCUACACACGUACUACAAUGGCCGGUACAAAGGGCAGCCACUUAGCGAUAAGGAGCCAAUCCCGUAAAGACCGGUCUCAGUCCGGAUUGGAGUCUGCAACUCGACUCCAUGAAGUUGGAAUCGCUAGUAAUCGCAGAUCAGCACGCUGCGGUGAAUACGUUCCCGGGCCUU